AUUGAACGCUGGCGGCAGGCCUAACACAUGCAAGUCGAGCGGAUGAAGGGUGCUUUCUCCUGGAUUCAGCGUCGGACGCGUGUGUAUUGCCUAUGAAUCUGCCUGGUUUUUCGUGAUUACGUCCGCAAACGGGCGCUAAUACCGCAUACGUCCUGAUGCUGAUAGUUGGUGUUCUUCGGACCUCUCGCUAUCUUUUGUGCCUAGGUCGUAUUUGCUAGUUGGUUGGGUAAAGGCCUACCAAGGCGACGAUCCGUAACUGGUCUGAGAGGAUGAUCAGUGACACUGGAACGGAGACACGGACCAGACGACUACGGGAGGCAGCAGAGGGGAAUAGUGGACAAUGGGCGAAAGCAUGAGACAGAGAUGGCGAGUGUGAGAAGAAGGUGUGCGGAGUGUAAAGCACGUUAAGGAGGGAGGAAGGGCAGUAAGAUAAUACCUAGCUGGAUUGACGUUAACAAGAGAAAAAGCACCGGCUAACUACGUG
rnacentral:rRNA from 1 species